CUGUUAUGUAAUGUCCAACCCACUGUGCUCACAGCCGGGUACAGGGGCUUGGAACCCAGGAGAGACAGCUAAGAUGCAGUUUCCUCAUCUGUGAAAUGGGAACAACGUCACUGAGGUGCUGACUUUGGCAGGAUGUGCAAGACACGAGGCCGGCGUCCAGGACAGGACAGAAGCACAGUGAAGCUCCAAGAUGCAGAGGAAGAACCUAGUAUCCAGCUUUUCUAGCUCAGUGUCCAGGGCAGGAGGAAGAGGCUGCAGGCAGAACCCGUGGCGGGACCUCAGCGUGGACCUGGCCGUCCUUGCACUGUUGUCUCCCAGGGCACCAUGCCUGCCUGGUGGGCCGGAGGGCGAGGCUCCUUCAAGGUACACAUUUACAAACUACAAAUGGAUGCCCUCAGGCUCUUUAUUAUAUUUUGUUUACUGUGUUUUUGAGGCCAGGGCAAAAAUUAGAUGUGAUCUUACGGCUUUUCUACCCAAGUUUUUAAAUGUCUUCUCCUGGGUGUGAAGGAAGGAACUGGAUG